UACGUAGGGCGCAAGCGUUAUCCGGAAUUAUUGGGCGUAAAGAGCUCGUAGGCGGUUUGUCGCGUCUGCCGUGAAAGUCCGGGGCUUAACUCCGGAUCUGCGGUGGGUACGGGCAGACUUGAGUGAUGUAGGGGAGACUGGAAUUCCUGGUGUAGCGGUGAAAUGCGCAGAUAUCAGGAGGAACACCGAUGGCGAAGGCAGGUCUCUGGGCAUUAACUGACGCUGAGAAGCGAAAGCAUGGGGAGCGAACAGG
rnacentral:rRNA from 1 species